GCUGGGUGUGGUGGCGCACGCCUGUAAUCCCAGCUACUCGGGAGGCUGAGGCAGGAGAAUUGCUUGAACCCAGGAGGCAGAGGUUGCAGUGAGCCAAGAUUGUGCCACUGCACUCCAGCCUGGGCAACAGAGCGAGACUUUGUCUCAA
ensembl:misc_RNA Metazoa_SRP Metazoan signal recognition particle RNA